UCCGUGGAGGACUAGUGGUUCAGCCACAGCUUUCUCACCGACGCGGCCCGGGUUCGAUUCCCGGCCAGGGAA